rnacentral:tRNA from 1 species
GGCUCUUUGGCUCAAUCGGUAGAGCGCGCGGUUGAAAAUCGCGAGUGACGGGGUUCGAUCCCCCGGGGAGCCA